CAGAAAGACACAAAGGAUCGCGAUGGAAACCAGUAGGCAUCGGAUGUGCUACUGUCACCGCGAUAAUUUUGAUGGCCAUCAUAACUUUCUUCUGGCAUCGAUAUAAAAAAAGAAAAAAUGGUUCCUCCAAUUUCUUGAUUUUCUAUUGGAAGAACACACAAGACAAUGAAAGUAUUGAGGCUUUUCUUAAGAACCAUGGAGUGAUGGCACCAAAAAGAUACAGAUAUGCAGAAGUAAGGAAAAUGACAGGGUCCUUCAAUGAUAAACUAGGCCAAGGAGGUUAUGGA
rnacentral:misc_RNA from 1 species